GACGAACGCUGGCGGCGUGCCUAAUACAUGCAAGUCGAACGGUCUUUUCUAUGAAAGCUUGCUUUCACUGAGAAGAUAGUGGCGGACGGGUGAGUAACACGUGGGUAACCUGCCCAUAAGAGGGGGAUAACAUCCGGAAACGGGUGCUAAUACCGCAUAGUUUUUUUGGUCACAUGACUGAGAAAGGAAAGACGGCCUUUGUGCUGUCGCUUAUGGAUGGACCCGCGGCGUAUUAGUUAGUUGGUGAGGUAAUGGCUCACCAAGACGAUGAUACGUAGCCGACCUGAGAGGGUGAUCGGCCACAUUGGGACUGAGACACGGCCCAAACUCCUACGGGAGGCAGCAGUAGGGAAUCUUCCGCAAUGGACGAAAGUCUGACGGAGCAACGCCGCGUGAGUGAAGAAGGUUUUCGGAUCGUAAAACUC
rnacentral:rRNA from 1 species